GUGGGGAAUCUUAGACAAUGGGCGCAAGCCUGAUCUAGCCAUGCCGCGUGAGCGAUGAAGGCCUUAGGGUUGUAAAGCUCUUUCAGCUGGGAAGAUAAUGACGGUACAAGCAGAAGAAGCCCCGGCUAACUCCGUGCCAGCAGCCGCGGUAAUACGGAGGGGGCUAGCGUUGUCCGGAAUUACUGGGCGUAAAGCGCAUGUAGGCGGAUCAGAAAGUCAGAGUGGAAAUCCCAGUGCUCAACCUUGGAACUGCCUUUGAAACUCCGGAGCUUGAGUGCGGGAGAGGUGAGUGGAAUUCCGAGUGUAGAGGUGAAAUUCGUAGAUAUGCGGAGGAACACCAGUGGCGAAGGCGGCUCACUGGCUCAAUACUGACGCUGAGGUGCGAAAGCGUGGGGAGCAAACAGGAUUAGAUACCCGUGUAGUCC
rnacentral:rRNA from 1 species